rnacentral:miRNA from 1 species
UUCCUUCCAGUCAGUGAGGUUGUUAUACCUCAUUGACUGGAGGGGGUUCCUUCCAGUCAGUGAGGUACAAAGACCUCACUGACCAGAAGGAA